rnacentral:sRNA from 1 species
CAACCCUGCCGCAGCCAUCUCCAUUCACAGGACCUGUUUAGGAAGUAGAGUUUUAGCGAGGAAGCCUUCACCACAACAGCCAAACUCCCCAGAAAACACUAGCUAGUGGCUCUAUAAUGUGGUUUGCUGAGAAGUAUAAGGAAACUGGAAAAGGCGGGAAGGGGAGGGCGGGGGGCCGGGUGUUCGGAGGCCCUGCCGGUGGGUAACUAGCCUCCCGUCUUCUGCAGACUGGCAGAAGACCGAGGCCCAGAAGCGACGGGAGCAGCUCCUGCUAGACGAGCUGGUGGCCCUGGUGAACAAGCGCGAUGCGCUCGUCAGGGACCUGGACGCGCAGGAGAAGCAGGCCGAAGAAGAAGAUGAGCAUUUGGAGCGAACUCUGGAGCAAAACAAAGGCAAGAUGGCCAAGAAAGAGGAGAAAUGUGUUCUUCAGUAGCCAUCAGAUCAGAAAGAAUCUCUCCCAACAUUUUAGAGUCUUGCUUCCCAAACCAGAAAAAGUCAGACUCAUUGUUGAUUUAAAACUUCUAACAUUUUGUUUGGCUGGAUUGUACUACUUUACCUCUACUUUACCACCACCACCCUUUCCCUCCC